GGGGAUAUAUAUAGUAGAUAAUGGGGGACAGACAGAGUGCUGGGGGGUCACUCACUGAGUGUGACUCAGGGAAGGGCUGAGAGCCCCCCCUACAGGGCAUCACUUGGAUGGAGUGAGUGGGUACCCAGAAAGCUUGGGCCUGAUUGGCCAGAGAGUGCAGAAGAUGCAGCCUGGGCCCCUGUGUUGGGCUCCUGCAAAGGCAUCAGGCCUGGCACUGCCCACAGCGGGCACAUUCAGCUCAUUGGCUGAGAGGGAACUGCCGGCCCUUUCCCAAUUCAGACGACUCUCCCU
rnacentral:RNase_P_RNA from 1 species